rnacentral:rRNA from 1 species
CCUACGGGUGGCAGCAGUGGGGAAUAUUGCUCAAUGGGGGAAACCCUGAAGCAGCGACGCCGCGUGGAGGAUGAAGGUUUUCGGAUUGUAAAGUCCUUUUGUUAGAGAAGAUAAUGACGGUAUCUGACGAAUCAGCACCGGCUAACUCCGUGCCAGCAGCCGCGGUAAUACGGAGGGUGCAAGCGUUACUCGGAUUCACUGGGAGUAACGAGCGCGUAGGCGGGAUAGCAAGUCAGAUGUGAAAUCCGAGGGCUGAACCCUAGGACUGCAUUUGAAACUGUUAUUCUAGAGUACGGGAGAGGUAGGUGGAAGUCUUGGUGUAGCGGUAAAAUGCGUAGAGAUCAAGAGGAAUACCCAUGGCGAAGGCGACCUGCUAGAAUAUAACUGACGCUGAUGCGCGAAAGCGUGGGGAGCAAACAGGAUUAGAGACCCGAGUAGUC